rnacentral:tRNA from 1 species
UCCCUGAUGGUCCAAUGGUUAAGACUCUGCCUUCCAAUGCAAGGGGCACACAGGUUCAAUCCCUGGUCAGGGAA